UGCGAAGGUGUGCUGUGAGGCAUGCUGGAGGUAUCAGAAGUGCGAAUGCUGACAUAAGUAACGAUAAAGCGGGUGAAAAGCCCGCUCGCCGGAAGACCAAGGGUUCCUGUCCAACGUUAAUCGGGGCAGGGUGAGUCGACCCCUAAGGCGAGGCCGAAAGGCGUAGUCGAUGGGAAACAGGUUAAUAUUCCUGUACUUGGUGUUACUGCGAAGGGGGGACGGAGAAGGCUAUGUUGGCCGGGCGACGGUUGUCCCGGUUUAAGCGUGUAGGCUGGUUUUCCAGGCAAAUCCGGAAAAUCAAGGCUGAGGCGUGAUGACGAGGCACUACGGUGCUGAAGCAACAAAUGCCCUGCUUCCAGGAAAAGCCUCUAAGCAUCAGGUAACAUCAAAUCGUACCCCAAACCGACACAGGUGGUCAGGUAGAGAAUACCAAGGCGCUUGAGAGAACUCGGGUGAAGGAACUAGGCAAAAUGGUGCCGUAACUUCGGGAGAA
rnacentral:rRNA from 1 species